GAUGAACGCUGGCGGCGUGCUUAACACAUGCAAGUCGAACGGAAAGGCCAGUGCUUGCACUGGUACUCGAGUGGCGAACGGGUGAGUAACACGUGGGUGAUCUGCCCUGUACUUCGGGAUAAGCUUGGGAAACUGGGUCUAAUACCGGAUAGGACAACUUUUUGGAUAUUGUUGUGGAAAGCUUUUGCGGUAUGGGAUGAGCUCGCGGCCUAUCAGCUUGUUGGUGGGGUAAUGGCCUACCAAGGCGUCGACGGGUAGCCGGCCUGAGAGGGUGUACGGCCACAUUGGGACUGAGAGACGGCCCAGACUCCUACGGGAGGCAGCAGUGGGGAAUAUUGCACAAUGGGCGCAAGCCUGAUGCAGCGACGCCGCGUGGGGGAUGAAGGCCUUCGGGUUGUAAACUCCUUUCGCUAGGGACGAAGCUUUUUUGUGACGGUACCUGGAGAAGAAGCACCGGCUAACUACGUG
rnacentral:rRNA from 1 species